CUCUUAUCCAGAGAGGCGGAGGGAACGGCCCGUUGAAGCCUCGGCAACCAGGUGCAAACCCAGGUGCCAAUUCCGGCAGAGUAAGAUCUGGAAGAUGAGAG
rnacentral:ncRNA from 2 species